GACGAACGCUGGCGGCGUGCUUAACACAUGCAAGUCGAACGGAAAGGCCCUGCUUUUGUGGGGUGCUCGAGUGGCGAACGGGUGAGUAACACGUGAGUAACCUGCCCUUGACUUUGGGAUAACUUCAGGAAACUGGGGCUAAUACCGGAUAGGAGCUCCUGCUGCAUGGUGGGGGUUGGACAGUUUCGGCGGUUGGGGAUGGACUCGCGGGUUAUCAGCUUGUUGGUGGGGUAGUGGCCUACCAAGGCUUUGACUGGUAGCCGGCCCGGGAGGGUGACCGGCGACAUGGGUACUGAGAGACGGCCCAGACUCCAACGGGAGGCAGCAGUGGGGAAUAUUGCACAAUGGGCGGAAGCCUGAUGCAGCGACGCCGCGUGCGUGAUGACGGCCUUCUGGUUGUAAACCGCUUUCGCCUGUGACGAAGCGUGAGUGACGGUAAUGGGUAAAGAAGCACCGGCUAACUACGUG
rnacentral:rRNA from 1 species